rnacentral:rRNA from 1 species
ACGAACGCUGGCGGCAUGCCUCACACCUGCAAGUCGCACGAGACCUUCGGGUCUAGUGGCGCACGGGUGCGUAACGCGUGGGAACCUGCCCUUAGGUUCGGAAUAACUCCCCGAAAGGGGUGCUAAUACCGGAUAAUGUCUUCGGACCAAAGAUUUAUCGCCUUUGGAUGGGCCCGCGUUGGAUUAGCUAGUUGGUAGGGUAAAAGCCUACCAAGGCGACGAUCCAUAGCUGGUCUGAGAGGAUGAUCAGCCACACUGGGACUGAGACACGGCCCAGACUCCUACGGGAGGCAGCAGUGGGGAAUAUUGGACAAUGGGCGAAAGCCUGAUCCAGCAAUGCCGCGUGAGUGAUGAAGGCCUUAGGGUUGUAAAGCUCUUUUAACCGGGAUGAUAAUGACAGUACCGGGAGAAUAAGCGCCGGCUAACUCCGUG